UGAGGAAUAUUGGUCAAUGGACGCAAGUCUGAACCAGCCAAGCAGCGUGCAGGAUGACGGCCCUAUGGGUUGUAAACUGCUUUUAUAGGGGGAUAAAGUGGGGAACGUGUUCCCUUUUGCAGGUACCAUAUGAAUAAGGACCGGCUAAUUCCGUGCCAGCAGCCGCGGUAAUACGGAAGGUUCGGGCGUUAUCCGGAUUUAUUGGGUUUAAAGGGAGCGUAGGCCGUUUGGUAAGCGUGUUGUGAAAUGUAGGAGCUCAACUUCUAGAUUGCAGCGCGAACUGUCAGACUUGAGUGCGCACAACGUAAGCGGAAUUCAUGGUGUAGCGGUGAAAUGCUUAGAUAUCAUGAAGAACUCCGAUUGCGAAGGCAGCUUACGGGAGCGCAACUGACGCUGAAGCUCGAAGGUGCGGGUAUCGAACAGG
rnacentral:rRNA from 1 species